ACGAACAAUCGAAAACUAUGAGUAUUAUAUAAUAAUCGGUUAUAUACAGGACUCGGAUUCUAUAGCACAGAAGCUGAUCCUGACCUAGAUAACCGAAGGGUGAAUGCAUUUUAAAAUUCAAAGGGUACACAUUUAUAAUAACACUUCACCCGGUUAAAAUAUAGUGUUUAAAAUAUAUUAAAUUAAUUUUGUGUAUUCUUAACCUUAGCUGGUACGUCUCGAUCGUCACGAUUGGCUCUCCCAUUAAAUCCACCCCGGCAAUAGCAUUUGAUAAAUUAUUAUAGAACACUAAGAAAAACAACGGUGUAAGCUAUACAUUUAUUUCAUGUAAUAAGGAUAUUUUAAAUCUAAUACAUUUCACACUGCAUAUAUUUAUCUAUUUUCAAGAUAAUAGCUGUUGAGUAUUAUAUCUCUUUUGUUUUGGAGCUAUUUCGUGAUUUAAAUAAAAAGAAAAGAUAGUGUCAUAACUAGAAUAUGAAAUUCAUCAUAUUUUCAAUUAAGAGUUGAAUAAUAAAAAAAUAAUUUUUUUUAGCGAAUAACAUUGUUUUAAACUGAUCACGGUAGAAGACACUAAAUACUCGCAUACUGUGCUUGUAGAAAAAAAUCACAGUGUGCGUUCUUCGUAAAAGGUAUUUAUCGUUAUCGUCCAGUACCAUAGAAUCGGAGCUCCGGUCAUGUGCACGAAGCCCACGUGCGCCGAUAGACGCACGUGCACAGCGUACAUGCAAAACGCGGACCGGUUCGCGUGCAUGUUACGAUCGUACAGUGUACACAUUGGCACGUACAUUGUAACGCGCGCGGAUUUAUAAUUUAUUCCGAUACGAAACGCGAAGAACAAUCCGCGUCGGAUUUCGUACGUUUCGUCGGGAGCAAUCGGCUCCGCGCAAUGUAAUCGUUGAGUGCGUGCCCGUGCACGCCCGUGCGUGUCCAUGAGUGCGCGGCAAACGUUUACGUAUUGGUCCGAGCUCUUCAUCCAAGGCUGCCCCCGUGCCGUUUCGGCUGAAAUGGAAAACCACCCUCGUUGUAUCAAAAACAUGGAUGUCAUAGCAUGGGUUCCUGGUAUUCCUGGACAUGGUCCUAAAUUUCCUGUACCAGAUAAUUCCCAACCUGGAACUCUUUGUUUAAAAUACAAAGGAAUGAAAAUCUUUAUCCCAUGUAAAUCCACUAAAUUACAAAGCGACAGCAACGUAGUUAAAGACGACAAAGAAAAAAAAAUAAUUCCAAUGAUAAAUUUAAAAGCAGUAGGUCACCUACUCAAACCAGAUAUAAACUAGCAGACUCAAAAUAUAAAGUAGAAGAAGUAAGCAGUUAUUUGGAAGGACAAAAGUUUUCUGCUGUGCCCUUAAAACGUUCUGUUGGUGUCCAAUGGAAUAUUAAUGAUACCGAAGACACGUCUAAAUUGAUUAAUCCACUGCAGACAUCGAAUAGAACAUUUGAUUAUAUUGAAAAUAAAAAGUUGACUGCGGAUACGAAGAAAAGUAAUGGAUUCAAUAAAGACAUAAAAGUUAUAAAAUGUCAAGUAUCAGCAGUGG